GAUGAAGAACGUAGCGAAAUGCGAUACGUAAUGUGAAUUGCAGAAUUCAGUGAAUCAUCGAGUCUUUGAACGCACAUUGCGCCCCCUGGUAUUCCGGGGGGCAUGCCUGUCCGAGCGUCAUUGCUGCCCUCAAGCACGGCUUGUGUGUUGGGCCCCCGUCCUCCUCCCGGGGGACGGGCCCGAAAGGCAGCGGCGGCACCGCGUCCGGUCCUCGAGCGUAUGGGGCUUCGUCACCCGCUCUUGUAGGCCCGGCCGGCGCUUGCCGACACAUCAAUCUUUUUUCCAGGUUGACCUCGGAUCAGGUAGGGAUACCCGCUGAACUUAAGCAUAUCAAUAAGCGGAGGA
rnacentral:misc_RNA from 1 species